UUUUUUAAAUCCAAACUAUUGUGACACCAGAUCUAAUUAGUGGCACUUGUCAGCGUAUCCACUGUUAGCGUAACACACCCGCUUUAAGGACACUGACUGCUAUUCAAUCUAUAACAGCAAAAAAGUUUUUUGUUUUUAAAUCCAAGCUAUUGUGACACAGGAUCUAAUUAGUGGCACUUGUCAGCGUAUCCACUGUUAGCGUAACACACCCGCUUUAAGGACACUGACUGCUAUUCAAUCUAUAACAGUGAAAAAAAGUUUUUUGUUUUUUAAAUCCAAACUAUUGUGACACCAGAUCUAAUUAGUGGCACUCGUCAGCGUAUCCACUGUUAGCGUAACACACCCGCUUUAAGGACACUGACUGCUAUUCAAUCUAUAACAGUGAAAAAAGUGUUUUGUUUUUUUAAAUCCAAG